UCUCCGUUGGUGAACCAGCGGAGGGAUCAUUACAGGACUCGCAAGACUCCCGUAAACCACUGUGAACUUACCUACAACCCGUUGCCUCGGCGGGUGCUCCGGGCGCGUCUUCGGGCGCUCCGGGGCGCUCCAGCCCGCCGGCGGCCCCUAAACUCUGUCUCUGUAACGUUGGCAUCUCCGAGCAGACUAUAAACGAGUCAAAACUUUCAACAACGGAUCUCUUGGUUCUG
rnacentral:misc_RNA from 1 species